rnacentral:rRNA from 1 species
CCUACGGGGGACAGCAGUGGGGAAUAUUGCGCAAUGGGCGAAAGCCUGACGCAGCGACGCCGCGUGAGGGAUGAAGGUCUUCGGAUCUUAAACCUCUUUCAGCAGGGAAGAACGGUCACUGUGCUAAGCAGCAGUGAAUUGACGGUACCUGCAAAGGAAGCACCGGCUAACUCCGUGCCAGCAGCCGCGGUAAUACGGAGGGUGCGAGCGUUAAUCGGAAUGACUGGGCGUAAAGCGCUCGUAGGCGGUAUGUCAAGUCAAGGGUGAAAUCCCCGCGCUCAACGUGGGAACUGCAUUUGAAACUGGCAGACUGGAGUAUGUGAGAGGAUAGUGGAAUUCCAGGUGUAGCAGUGAAAUGCGUAGAUAUCUGGAGGAACAUCAGUGGCGAAGGCGACUCUCUGGCACAUAACUGACGCUGAGGAGCGAAAGCGUGGGUAGCAAACAGGAUUAGAUACCCUGGUAGUC